GACGAGAUGGCCGAGUGGUUAAGGUGAUGGGCUACUAAUCCAUUGUGCUCUGCAUGCAUGGGUUCGAAUCCCACUGUCGUCA